rnacentral:rRNA from 1 species
UACCUGGUUGAUCCUGCCAGUAGUCAUAUGCUUGUCUCAAAGACUAAGCCAUGCACGUCUAAGUACAAACUAAAUGAUGGUGAAACUGCAAAUGGCUCAUUACAACGGUUAUGAUGUACCCGGGAGCUCCGAUGGAUAUUUCCAGUAACACUAGAACUAAUACAUGUCCCUGCGUUUAUUAGUUUCGCACAGUCCGUCGCUGAGUCAUGGUAAACAGUUGAUCGACUCGACAUCCCGGAACAGUUUCCGCCCCAUCAGCUUCGAUGGUUGGGUAUUGGCCUACCAUUGCAACAACGGGUAACGAGGAAUUAGGGUUUGAUUUCGGAGAGGGAGCCUGAGAAACGGCUACCACAUCUACGGAUGGCAGCAGGCGCGCAAAUUACCCAAUGCAGACACUGUGAGGUAGUGACGAGAAAUAAUAAAGCGGGACUUCUGUUUCGCUAUUAUAAUGAGGAAUAACCAAAGGUCAUUCCGAUUAGCAACUGAUGGGAAAGUCUGGUGCCAGCAGCCGCGGUAAUACCAGCGUCAGUAGCAUAUAUUAAAAUUGUUGCAGUUAAAACGUCCGUAGUCUGUACGUCGUAUAAAACUCACUGCAGUCUUCCGUUUUCUUCAUUGAAUGCGGUAGUUUCUGUAGUCACUCCCUUGAUCAAAUUAGGUUGUUCAAGGUAGACCAAGUCUUCAUAUUUUUCACAUGGGAAUUGGGUGAGGGAACUUAAGAGUUUAAGUUUCUCGUCUUAGGAUCAUCCGGGGUCAUUCGUACUCGUCCGCGAGAGGUGAAAUUCUUGGACCGGACGAAGACGACCAGCAGCGAAAGCAUCUGUCAGGGAUGUUUUCUGCGACAAAGGACGAAGGUCAGGGUAUCGAAGACGAUUAGAUACCGUCGUAGUCCUGACUGUAAACUAUGCCAACUUGGGUCUUGCUGGGCGAUGCUUUGUGAGACCCACACAGAAAUGAAAGUGUAUGGGUUCUGGGGGUAGUAUGGACACAAGUCUGAAACUUGAAGGAAUUGACGGAAGAGCACCAUAAGACGUGGAGCUUGCGGCUUAAUUUGACUCAACGCGGGAAAACUUACCAGGUCAAGACAUGGGCGUGAUUGACAGGCUAAUGACUUUUCUCGAUUCCAUGGAUGGUGGUGCAUGGUCGCACUUAGUUGGUGCAGUGAUUUGUCAGGUUUAUUCCGGUAACGAACGAGACCUCGGCCUUGUAAAUAGCUAUGCUGCUUACAGGGACAUUGGCGGCUACGCCAAGGAAGCUCGAGGCAAUUGCAGAUCUGGAAUGCCCUUAGAUGUCCUGGGUCGCACGCGUGCUACAAUGACGCCACGAACGAGUUUGCGUGAUGAAAGUCACGCAUAAUCAGCAGUCGGCGUCCUAAGGGAUAGUCUCUUGUAACUGUGGGACUCCAACUAGGAAUGUCUCGUAAGCACAAGUCAACAUCUUGUGUUGAUUACGUCCCUGCUCUUUGUACACACCGCCCGUCGCUCCUACCGAUCGAGUGUUUAGGUGAAUUUGAUGGACGCAAGGAAGUCAAAUAAACCUGAGCACUUAGAGGAAGGAGAAGUCGUAACAAGGUUUCCGUAGGUGAACCUGCAGAAGGAUC